AUACGGAGGGUCCGAGCGUUGUUCGGAAUAACUGGGCGUAAAGCGCACGUAGGCGGAUUGAUCAGUUAGAGGUGAAAUCCCAGGGCUCAACCCUGGAACUGCCUUUAAUACUGUCAGUCUAGAGAUCGAGAGAGGUGAGUGGAAUUCCGAGUGUAGAGGUGAAAUUCGUAGAUAUUCGGAGGAACACCAGUGGCGAAGGCGGCUCACUGGCUCGAUACUGACGCUGAGGUGCGAAAGCGUGGGGAGCAAACAGGAUUAGAAACCCGGGUAGUCC
rnacentral:rRNA from 1 species